rnacentral:lncRNA from 1 species
UUCUUUCCUCUCUCUUCUCUCUCUUAUUUUAUGUUUGUUUCUUUCAUUGAGGACAAUGCAUAUUUUAAGUGUGGGGGAGGGAAUACUUUAUUUUCUUUGUUUUUGUUCUUUGUUUUGUUUUGUUUUUGUUUUCUUUCUAAAAAAAAUUGCAUUUUUGUUGAAAGUUUUAGGCUAUAGAAUAAUUUGAGGUCGAGUUUGCGGAGACUUGGGAAAAAUUCACAAGAUCGGUAUUGUUUUAACACCGUAAGUCUCCUGCAUAUGGAAAUUGAGUUGAAUUUUUAUUAUGACAUAGCCUUAAAUUCUCAUUCUCUG